rnacentral:rRNA from 1 species
UUAGGAAUUUUGGGCAAUGGGCGAAAGCCUGACCCAGCAACGCCGCGUGGGUGACGACGGCCUUCGGGUUGUAAAGCCCUUUUCUUGGGGAAGAUGAUGACGGUACCCGAGGAAGAAGCACCGGCUAACUACGUGCCAGCAGCCGCGGUAAUACGUAGGGUGCGAGCGUUGCCCGGAUUUAUUGGGCGUAAAGGGCGCGUAGGCGGCCUGGCGCGUCGGCUGUGAAAUCUCCCGGCUCAACUGGGAGGGGACGGCCGAUACGGCUGGGCUUGAGCGAGGUAGGGGAGAGUGGAAUUCCCGGUGUAGUGGUGGAAUGCGUAGAUAUCGGGAGGAACACCAGUGGCGAAGGCGGCUCUCUGGACCUCUGCUGACGCUGAGGCGCGAAAGCGUGGGGAGCGAUCCGGAUUAGAUACCCCCGUAGUCC